rnacentral:rRNA from 1 species
UACGAAGGGGGCUAGCGUUGUUCGGAUUUACUGGGCGUAAAGGGCGCGUAGGCGGGCGAAUAAGUCAGGGGUGAAAUCCCAAGGCUCAACCUUGGAACUGCCUUUGAUACUGUUUGUCUUGAGUUCGAGAGAGGUAAGUGGAACUGCGAGUGUAGAGGUGAAAUUCGUAGAUAUUCGCAAGAACACCAGUGGCGAAGGCGGCUUACUGGCUCGAAACUGACGCUGAGGCGCGAAAGCGUGGGGAGCAAACAGG